ACCCUAUGGUGGGUAACUGUUACCCCAGGGUGGGUAACUGUCACCUCAGGGUGGGUAACUGUCACCCUAUGGUGGGUAACUGUCAUCCCAGGGUGGGUAACUGUCCCCAGGGUGGGUAACUGUCAUCCCAGGGACUGUCCCCAGGGUAGCAUUGCUCCCCUGAAGCUCCCUUGAUCCUAGAUUCCAGGUUCCAGCAGGAUCAAUGUCCAGUCUCUCACACAGGAAAACAUCAGAAGCAACAGAAUAUAAAAUACCGAGAGCAAGAAUAUUGUAAAUGCCCCCAAGGAAGCAUCUAGAAAACUGAUGUGUGAUUUCUAGGCAUACUGCACAGUUUUGCUAUUUACUAUGAGCCAGGGAUCAUUUUCCACUUGGAUGAUGCUGAAGAUGGCCUGGAUCCUGCACACCGAGCAGAGGCAGCCACUCCUGGAUUUGUCCCUCGACACCCUAAACCCUCCCAAUAAAUCUCUUUUAUGAGAUUUGCUGCAUGGUGUGAUUAUCUCGUUAGAUGAAGACAAGAAGCAAUGAAGGAGAAAGGAGGACGGGAAGAAGGGGAGAGGAGAAGCCAGGCUGAAGCUCCUGAGCUCCUCAGCUCAGCUAGUGAUCCCCUCCCCUGGCAGCUACACCACCUCUGCUGGCUGAGGAGGCUUCUGCUAAGAGUUACAUGGUUUCUGGACCCCUGUGUCUCAGUGCGCCCUCCUAUUGGGAUACAGUCUGCCCUUAGAGCUGUGUGGUUCCUGGGCUUCUGUGUCCUAAGGCACCUUCCCAUCCAAGCAGAAAGACCAACACUUAGGCUAGUACUCUCUAAAGCUGUAAGUUAAAUAAACAUCUUCCUUUGUACAGUAA